rnacentral:lncRNA from 1 species
GUGAAGACCACAGUUUCCUGUCGCGUGGAUGUGUUUCCUCUCUGGCCAUUGCCAUCCGCCCAAAUCUACAGACAUCCCGCAUGUUCCCGGGCUCGUCUCCCCAAUACAGGGCACCAAGGUGAGUGCAAGGUGCAUGGGCAGCGCCGUUUCCUCCAUCAAGGAAACCGGGCUGCGGGCCGUCGGUGGGCGGCUGGUCUGCUGGGUCUAGAGGAGGGAGGGCCUCAAGCCGCGUGCUUUUCACCGUCUGAGUAUCUGAAGCCUCAAAGCCAUGUCUGUCGCCUACAAAAAGUGGGUCGGUGUUUACGACCUGUGUCCCAUGUUUUUAGCAUCCUACCAAGGCGAAUCCAUUGACCAGGAUUUAAGUUGAGACUCCCCCAGGACCCCGGGUGCAGCAUCUGGGUCCCCCUGCCCCGCCCUGCCUUGCGCCGCAGCCGCUUCCGUUGUCCUGCCAGGCUGUAGACUGCGCAGCCCUCCUGGAGACAGAUGGAAGCUCCUUGGGUCGACAGAUUACAGCUUCUGGAACCCCCUACUCCCUUCAACUCCGAGAUGGACACCCACUGUCCAGGGAGAGGAUGCCUGGAAAUAACAGCUGGGAUCUACAGUGGCCAAAGAGUUGUCUCCGUCUUGCUACAUCGACAAACUGGUGCUCCUGAGUGAGGAUUGUGCCCUGGGAUGGGGGAUUCAGUUUCUUCAUUUAUAGUUGGAAGUGGGUGAAGGUGAGUGCCAGGAGCGACGGUACACUCCAGAGUGCUGUGCCCUGAUGGGCCUUUGAGUGGCCAGUGCAGUGGAUCAUCAGCCCUGUCUCCCAAGAGCUCCAGUCCCUUCUCCGGAGAGGAAGUGGGUCCACUGGCAGCUCAGGAGGCCAUAGCAGGAUUGUCACGUGUGCUCAACAGUCCUCCUCGGCUUUCCAGAAGAGGCUGGAACAGGGCCCUUGAAGAUGUUUGUGGACAUCAGAGGGCCAAAGACGACACAAAGUGAAACUGGAGACACCGCCCCCCCUUGGCAUCAUGAAACUGCCGAUGUUACUGGCUCAUGCAUGGGAGACACCAGCAUACAAAGUCUUGACACCAACACCUCAGAGGGCUGUGUUCUGUCCCCGUGACCAUCAUCUAGUGCCUGGAAAGACUAGUGACAAGAACUUGUUGCCAACUUCCUAUUACCUCCCUAACAGUUGUGCAAUAAACCCCAUAGGUUAAU